CGGGGGGCAGCAGUGGGGAAUUUUGGACAAUGGGCGCAAGCCUGAUCCAGCCAUGCCGCGUGAGUGAAGAAGGCCUUCGGGUUGUAAAGCUCUUUCGGCAGGAACGAAAUGGUUCGUGCCAAUACCACGGACUGAUGACGGUACCUGAAGAAGAAGCACCGGCUAACUACGUGCCAGCAGCCGCGGUAAUACGUAGGGUGCAGGCGUUAAUCGGAAUUACUGGGCGUAAAGCGUGCGCAGGCGGUUUCUUAAGUCAGAUGUGAAAGCCCCGGGCUUAACCUGGGAACUGCGUUUGAAACUGGGAGACUUGAGUGUGGCAGAGGGGGGCGGAAUUCCACGUGUAGCAGUGAAAUGCGUAGAUAUGUGGAGGAACACCGAUGGCGAAGGCAGCCCCCUGGGUUAACACUGACGCUCAUGCACGAAAGCGUGGGGAGCAAACAGGAUUAGAUACCCGAGU
rnacentral:rRNA from 1 species